GUUAACUUGCCCUUAGGUGGAGAAUAAUCCCGGGAAACUGGGGCUAAUACUCCAUAGGAAACGAGUUUUGGAAUAUCUCGUUUCUGAAAGUUCCGGCGCCUAAGGAUAGGACUGCGGUGGAUUAGGUUGUUGGUGAGGUAAAGUCUCACCGAGCCUAUAAUCCAUUCGGGCAUUGAGAGAUGGAGCCCGGAGACGUGCUCUGAGACACGAGUACGGGCCCUAUGGGGCGCAGCAGGCGCGAAACCUUUACACUGCGUGAAAGCGUGAUAAGGGGAUCCUGAGUGCCCUCUCACUGAGGGGCUUUUCUGGAGUGUAAAUAUUUCCAGGAAUAAGCAGCGGGUAAGACGGGUGCCAGCCGCCGCGGUAAUACCCGCGCUGCAAGUGGUGGCCACUAUUAUUGGGCCUAAAGCGUCCGUAGCCGGCCAGAAGGGUCCUUGGUGAAAUCCUAUGUAAAGCAUGGGGCUUGCCAAGGAAACUAUUUGGCUAGGGACCGGGAGAAGUCGGAGGUACUCUUGGGGUAGGGGUAAAAUCCUAUCAUCCUGAGAGGACCACCUGUGGCGAAAGCGUCCGACUAGAACGGCUCCGACGGUGAGGGACGAAAGCUUGGGUCGCGACCCGGAUUAGAUACCCGGUUAGUCCAAGCCGUAAACAAUGCCCGUUUGGUGUAUCAUAUCCUAUGGGGAUAUGAUGUGCCGGAGCAUAGUGUUAAACGGGCCGCCUGGGGAGUACGACCGCAAGGUUUAAACUUAAAGGAAUUGGCGGGGG
rnacentral:rRNA from 1 species